rnacentral:lncRNA from 1 species
CCUUUUUCAAUUAGAAAUUUCGUUAUCAAUAUGCCUUUCAAUUUUUUGUAUCCUUUCAAUGUAUUAUCUCAACAAUAUACAACACAAAAAGCUAAAGUAUCAUCAGUCAUACGCCAGAUAUUGACUUCAAAUACAACCAUGUUCAUCAUAAUGAUAUUUCCUUACUAAAUAACCUUGUAACAAGCCUAGCUUGAGUACUCUGAUGCAACAUUACGUAGCCUUUUUCUUAAGUACAAGAAAACAAAAUUUUGAAAUGAGGAAAACCUUUAAACCCAAAACCCUUGCUCCCAUUUGGCGUUGUCCAAGUUUAGCAUCACCAAGUUCACUUGAUCCCUAAGACAUCACAACUAGAAAAAUUUUAAACUCUGGCCAUAAGCAAAACUUAGUACAUGUCCUAAGUUUGCGAGUAAUAAUUUAAAAUCAAUUAUACACUAUUGUAGUUACCUUCUAACUGAGAUCUCUUUGGAAAAAGAAAUUUGGAAUUAGUUCCAACAAACAAAGUAAUGCCAUGUAAAGCUUUGUUUCCAAUGCAAUAUAUAUAUCAGACUUAUCAGUCAAAAACUCACAAAGCUAAAAAUAUAAAAUCAAACUUCAUAUAUAGUAUAGAUAUUUCAUUUUUAUAACUAAAAUUUAGUAAUUUAUUUACCUGUUUGAAGAAAUAUUAAGAAUAUAGCUUCGUCUUCUUUUUUUCUUUCUUUUUGCCUUUGAGAAGUAAUAAAAAAACAAUAAAAAUCAGUGGACGUUUAUUUUGAUGUCCCUAUAUACUUUAUAGAUUUAAGCUUUGAUACAAUAAAAUCAGGAAACAAUUACCUUGUAAAGUUUCUAAAUACUUUUUCGAUUUAAACUUGAUACUAUCUGAGUGAAGAUAUAUACUAAACAAAUUUUAUUUCUUGAAUUAACUUGCAUAAGUUAGAAAUAUCUAAAAUCUAUUAAACUAUUUUGUCAAAUAUUAUACAUUUUAGUAAAAAGAANNN